GAUGAACGCUAGCGGCAGGCUUAACACAUGCAAGUCGAGGGGUAACAGAGGUAGCUUGCUACUUGCUGACGACCGGCGCACGGGUGCGUAACGCGUAUACAAUCUACCUUGUACAGGGGAAUAGCCCAGAGAAAUUUGGAUUAAUGCCCCAUAGUAUUAUGAAAUGGCAUCGUUUUAUAAUUAAAGCUUCGGCGGUACAAGAUGAGUAUGCGUUCUAUUAGCUAGAUGGUAAGGUAACGGCUUACCAUGGCUACGAUAGAUAGGGGUCCUGAGAGGGAGAUCCCCCACACUGGUACUGAGACACGGACCAGACUCCUACGGGAGGCAGCAGUGAGGAAUAUUGGACAAUGGUCGAAAGACUGAUCCAGCCAUGCCGCGUGCAGGAAGACUGCCCUAUGGGUUGUAAACUGCUUUUAUUAUGGGAAGAAUAAGAUCUACGUGUAGAUCGAUGACGGUACCAUAAGAAUAAGCACCGGCUAACUCCGUG
rnacentral:rRNA from 1 species